rnacentral:rRNA from 1 species
CGUACACUCCUACGGGAGGCAGCAGUGGGGAAUAUUGGACAAUGGGCGCAAGCCUGAUCCAGCCAUGCCGCGUGAGUGAUGAAGGCCCUAGGGUUGUAAAGCUCUUUCACCGGUGAAGAUAAUGACGGUAACCGGAGAAGAAGCCCCGGCUAACUUCGUGCCAGCAGCCGCGGUAAUACGAAGGGGGCUAGCGUUGUUCGGAUUUACUGGGCGUAAAGCGCACGUAGGCGGACUAUUAAGUCAGGGGUGAAAUCCCGGGGCUCAACCCCGGAACUGCCUUUGAUACUGGUAGUCUUGAGUUCGAGAGAGGUGAGUGGAAUUCCGAGUGUAGAGGUGAAAUUCGUAGAUAUUCGGAGGAACACCAGUGGCGAAGGCGGCUCACUGGCUCGAUACUGACGCUGAGGUGCGAAAGCGUGGGGAGCAAACAGGAUUAGAUACCCUUGUAGUCCCAUGA